rnacentral:tRNA from 1 species
GGACUGUAGCUCAGUGGCAAAGUGCUUGCCUAGCAUGUGUGAGGUACUGGGUUCGAUCCUCAGCACCA